GCAUCCAUAGAGGCAGACGUUACUUAAGAAGUAGCAAAGAUGUCAAGCUCUUUGCAGGGGACAAGAACGCUUUGCUUAUCAACUGGGUCACUUUUAAGUUAGCCGAUCAGAUGUGAGGGUGAGCUCUGGCCUCUUAGAAGCAGGGGUGUAGCAGAAGCGCCCUCAACAAGAGGCGAGGCUCUGCAAGCUGAGGCCCGAGGAGUCCUGUGAGCAUGCGUUUCAGUGUGAGAGCAGUUCUGGGCCUCGGGUCUUCUGGCAAGAGGACCCUCCCUUCAUGUUUGGAAAUCAGAUGCUAUGCUAGAAGAAAGGACUCCACGCCUGGACUAUUGCUGCUGGAGAAGAAAGUGACAUCCAAUGAGGUGGCACUGGGCCUGCCAGGGACAUGGCUGACACUUACGCAGUCACUUCACCAGGCCACCCUGUCAUUAAGCCGUUAGGUGACCUUAGGCAAAUCUCUGUAGCUCGGUUCCUCUGACUGUGAAACAAGGAGACCUGUGAUCUUGGUCUCCACCACCACCCACCCAUACGCACCCUGGGCUUCUAGGGAGCAGGAGCAGGUUCCCCACCCUCUGCCUGAACACCAGGAGCCUGCUGCCACGAGGACUCUGUACUCUGAGCCUCCUGUCUUCCAGCGGUGACCUGGCUCGGACAUCCACUCCCCAAGUCUGUGCUCCCUGCCUGUCCAGAGAGUUCUUCUGUCUUUCCCAUCAGGCUCAAAGAGGUCCAGCCUGGGGUAGAAUGGCUAGGAAGCUGCAGCUUGUCUAAGCUGGAAGACCCACAAGGAGCCCAGACUUCUGAUCAGAAGGGAGCUGAGGGUCCCCCAAGUGCCUGGGACAACACUGGAGCCCAUCUGAGCAACCGCUAGCCUCCCUGGAGCCCAGCCCGAGAUAGAUGGGUCAGGAGGGCAGUGGAUGCAAAGUCUGAAGAAAGAAGGUCCCUCCGCCCACCAAGAUCUAUCUCAGCAUAGUACCCCUUCUCUGGGUCAAAAGGAACUAAAACAGACUGGAUAUGGUGGUGCGCGUUUAUAAUCCGGGAGCUUCCGAAGCUGAGGCAGGAGGAUGGAGAGUUCCAAGCCCUGUUUCAAGAAACAAGAAAUGGCCAGGCAUGGUGGUGCGUGCCUUGACUCCAGCACCCAAGAGGUGGAGGCAUGGGGAUCUUUAGGAGUUUGGAGCUAGCCUGGGCUACAUAAUGAGUUCCAGGCCAGCAAAGCCAAAAAGUAAAGCAAACAAAAGCUGGAGGGAUAGCUCAGGGCAUGAACUGCUUGUCCUAAUAACUUGUCUGUAAUUCCCAUGCUGAAACAGUCAGAUCGCUGGGGCCAGUCUGACAGCCCAGGACACUUGUUAAGUUCCUGGCCAGUGAGAGCUUGUCUCACAAAGAAGAGAGAGCGGCUGCCCAAGGAUGACCCCCCCCCCCCAAGGCUGAGGCUGUUCUCUGCCCACCGGCCCUGGUGUGUCCUCAUAUGCAAAUGGCUGGCAUCCAACCUCACACAUACGCACAGGUGUAUAC
rnacentral:lncRNA from 1 species